UACUGUAUACCGAAAAAUGGUGGCCAUUAACUUAUUUCCAGAGUUGGGUAGAAUCUACGCUUUCGUUGUUGUAGUAGGAAGAACUUCCAGUACUGUGAAGCAUGUUUCACUCAUAGCCAACGGUAACGGUGGAGAAAUUAUUGUUGUAAUGAAAAAUCUCAUUUGGAUUCUAACUUCAAUGGUUCUUCUGAUUGGUAUUAUUCAAAAAAGUUUGACGUGUGUUAAAAUGUAUCGGACUUUUUACGUAGUUGCAGCUCUCAUCAGCUUGAUGGCAAUAGUUACAGCUGGCAUCACUUCUCUGGAUAAAGUUGAUCAAAGUCGUCUUCCGAUGAAAAGAUUAUCAUUUUUGGCUGUUGUGUUCGUUUUUUGUGCACUGGCAAUGUGUAUUAUCUGGAUUUUGAACGGAAUCAUUCGGUACAUCGAAAGCGAGAAGAAAAUUCAAGUGAAAUAUGUGCAACACUUGCUGCAAAUUUAGUUUUU